GAUGAACGCUGGCGGCGUGCCUAAUACAUGCAAGUCGAGCGAACAGACGAGGAGCUUGCUCCUCUGAUGUUAGCGGCGGACGGGUGAGUAACACGUGGAUAACCUACCUAUAAGACUGGGAUAACUUCGGGAAACCGGAGCUAAUACCGGAUAACAUGUUGAACCGCAUGGUUCAACAGUGAAAGACGGUCUUGCUGUCACUUAUAGAUGGAUCCGCGCCGCAUUAGCUAGUUGGUAAGGUAACGGCUUACCAAGGCAACGAUGCGUAGCCGACCUGAGAGGGUGAUCGGCCACACUGGAACUGAGACACGGUCCAGACUCCUACGGGAGGCGGCAGUAGGGAAUCUUCCGCAAUGGGCGAAAGCCUGACGGAGCAACGCCGCGUGAGUGAAGAAGGUCUUCGGAUCGUAAAACUCUGUUAUUAGGGAAGAACAAAUGUGUAAGUAACUAUGCACGUCUUGACGGUACCUAAUCAGAAAGCCACGGCUAACUACGUG
rnacentral:rRNA from 1 species